GCAAGUCGAACGAGAACGGGCCUAGCUUGGUUGGCUUUCAGCUAAGUGGCGGACGGGUGAGUAAUGUAUAGCUAAUGUGCCCCUUAGAGAGGGAUAACAGUUGGAAACGACUGCUAAUACCUCAUACUCCUUCUACAUUAAUUGGAGUUGGGAAAUGUUUUUUCGCUAAGGGAUCGGGCUAUAUGGGAUCAGGUAGUUGGUGAGGUAAGGGCCUACCAAGCCAAUGACGCCUAGCUGGUCUGAGAGGAUGAUC
rnacentral:rRNA from 1 species